rnacentral:rRNA from 1 species
GACGAACGCUGGCGGCGUGCCUAAUACAUGCAAGUCGUGCGGACCUUGUUGAAAGCUUGCUUUUAAAAGGUUAGCGGCGGACGGGUGAGUAACACGUGGGCAACCUGCCUGUAAGACUGGGAUAACGCCGGGAAACCGGGGCUAAUACCAGAUCGUUUUUUCCUCCGCAUGGAGGAAAAAGGAAAGGCGGCUUCGGCUGCCACUUACAGAUGGGCCCGCGGCGCAUUAGCUAGUUGGCGGGGUAAUGGCCCACCAAGGCAACGAUGCGUAGCCGACCUGAGAGGGUGAUCGGCCACAUUGGGACUGAGACACGGCCCAAACUCCUACGGGAGGCAGCAGUAGGGAAUCUUCCGCAAUAGACGAAAGUCUGACGGAGCAACGCCGCGUGAGUGAAGAAGGCCGUCGGGUCGUAAAACUCUGUUGCCGGGGAAGAACAAGUUCCGUUCGAACAGGGCGGCGCCUUGACGGUACCCGGCCAGAAAGCCACGGCUAACUACGUG